UUUUCGUUGCUCAUGUUUAAUUAUGUUUUUCUGUUUCAUUUUAUUCUUUUCACCAUUUUUACACUGUUAAUGAUCGUACAGCACCUUCUAUUAAAGGCGCUUUAUAAAUAAAACUUUACUUACUCACAGGGUGGUCCCACUGUCCUCUGGAGACCCUCUUCAUUUAACUCUGUCUGCAUGAUGACACGUCUCUGCUGGACUCAGAGAAGAUCCAAAGCWGCUUCAAACGGUGGAGGUUUGGGUUUUCCUGGAAGGAGCUCAGAUGGUCCUACAGGAUGAGCGAGCAUCUCUCUCUCUCUCAGCUCGCCCUUCCAGUCCACACCUGUCCCAGAGGAGCAGGAUCAAUAAUUGCACCAAAAGCAGCCUGAUCAGAGAGUCUGAGAGCUUCAAAGUGGUGGUUCUGAUGGUGAAGUGUGGACUGAAGAGGAGGACAGGAUCUGACUGUCUGCAUCAGGUUCAGGAAACCCAGAUUUGUGAUGAGGAUGAUGUUAAAGAACAGAAACUGUGAGAUGUUCACUGACUUCUGAUCUCAUGAGGAGAACCAGCAGAACUCAACUGGUCUGAAUGGAGCUGCAGUGGUUUGGGUGAGAAGUCCACCUUCGUUGUUCUGCAGCCUGUGAGGAGAUCUGCUGAGGAACACGAGCUGGAGGGAUGGAUGACAAAUAAAACAUUAAAAUAACAAGUUUUAWUUUAAAACCUUUAUUUUCUUGGUGUUGUUUCUGUAAUAAAUCAUAAAUAAUAAAAUAAAGUGUUUUCAGAUGGACAGGAGGAUGGGUUUAAUAAACUCUUAAUAUUUCUGCGGUUUAAAGUUUAAAAAACAUCUUCAGCUGAAGUUUACCAAGCCUUGGUGCAAACACUGCUUUGAAAUGAAAAUGUUCAAACCACGAUGGAUCCGUGCACGGCGCCGGCCCGGCCCAGUUUAAUACUUAAUGAGGAACAUUUGAAAGCUCUGCAGAAAAAACAACAACUUUCAGAUCAAUAAAUUUCUAAUGGAUGUGCUGUUCGGACCGGUCUAAAUGCUGGAAGCGUGGGCUGGAAGGUCAGGAAGUCCUGCUGCUUCAGGCUGGAGGUCACGACCUCGGAGUUGUUUACUUCAUACAAGACUGUUGAAUAAAAGAUGAGCUGCAGCUCAUGUUUUACACAACAAAGUCAGGUUUUAACUGUGACAUGCAGGAGACAAACUUCUGCUCAGUUUCUUCAUUAAUGUUGAAGUGACAAACGUUAGAGUGAAGAUCUGCUGCUGGAGCUGGUUGUUCAGGUGGCGUGGGGCAUCCCUGUGGGAGGUCAGCACACACAUCACCUGCAUGUCGCUCCUCAGRUGUGGCUGACAGGUCCGCAGCUCCGGCGCCGGGCCUUCUUGAUGUUCCAGGACCAACGGGCCCGGCGGUACCGCUCGC